GGAGUAUGAAAAACUGAAACGACGUCGUAGAUGAAGCUGAGCUCAUCUCUUAAGCUUCGUCUCUCUCCGGCGAUCGAUUCGCCGAUAAGCCUCAGGUAGUCAGGGUAAAGCUCAGAAGCUUCCUCACCAACACCGCAUGGUUUGUCGACUUAAAAACAUCGAUGGGAACUGGAGAUUACGCAAAAAGAACAUAUCUUACAAUUCAUCUAAACAACUUCUUGGUAAAUGUGUUGUUAGGAGGACUAAUGUAGAGGGUUUUGUUCAUAGUCCUCGGAUCAUCCACUGUCCUGAUCGUGAGGAACAUUUUCCUUGCCAAAAAGGAUGUCCUUGUCUCUAGUAUGAGAAAUGAAACCAGACUCGAACUGAGCUAACGCAAUUGCUAACAACGUAAGUGUAUGGUAUUCCUUCAGCUUCAAUGGCUCUCCUGAUCUCUACCUUCCCUGCAAAUAAUGAUUUUGCCGGCUCAACCGCACUUGUUCUCUCCGCGUCUGUCCCAAACUCAGCCGGCAAGAAUCUCUGGAAAACAACAAGUUACAAAUCUAUUAUAUGUAAUGAGGCUUGAAUCAAAUACCGACCCUGACGUUACCGGCUUCUUUGAUGGCGGAAAUGAUCUUGGUUUGAUCCAACAUUUGCUUGUGCCCAAUAGUUGAUAUCACCACAUCAACCUGUUUAAUGGCCUUCACUAAGCUAUCAUGAUCAUUCAAAUCUCCCUGUCCAAGUUACAUAACUAAGGUUAUGGUUAUGAAUUUGUGUGAAACAUGUUAGAGGAUCGGAGAGAGAUGCUUCUCGGACAAGAGCGAAUGUUGGGUUACUGGCUUUCGCGCUCCUUUCAACGAUGAAUUCUCCCAUGUAACCAGUCCCUCCGAUCACCAGAAUCUUGCUUUUCUCCGUCGCCAUGUUUCAAACGUGGGCAAUUUAUGGACAGAUAAUUUGUUAGUUGAUUGACGACAAUACCCUCACUCAACAUCACAGUACACAAUUUUUCUUUAUGGACCGUAAUGGCUUAAUCAUGGAUGCAUAUCGUUUCUCACGAGCUCCAUUGAGGUGGAAAUAGAGGGUAAAGCUCAGAGGCUUCAAAACCGAACGAAGGCUCUAUAAUGAAAUUGGUUUGAUCACCUUUCACAAACACUGCGUGGUUUAUCGACAGAAGAACGUUGAAGGGAACCGGAGACUCUGCCAAAAAGGAAGAACUUUAUAUUCAGCAAAUGAAAAAAGGCAGUAAUAAAGAAUCUAAAAACCUCUUGGUGAAUUGAUUUUCUAAACCUUGGAUGCUUUUAAAGAUUUGUUCCUCUGACAUGUAAAUCUUCUCAAGAGACUUGCCGAUCUUUUUCUCCCACAAGGUGACUAUUUCGUUCAUUGAUAAAGUGUUGUUAGGAGGAUUGAUGUAGAGGGUUUUAUUUAGAGUCCUAGGAUCAUCCACCGCUUUGAUAGUGUAAGCAGCAAUAUCUUCCUCCUUGUUGAUCACAGCUACGAAAUAUUCGACCGUGUUAGAUUCA